rnacentral:rRNA from 1 species
AUUGAACGCUGGCGGCAUGCCUUACACAUGCAAGUCGAACGGCAGCACGGGUGCUUGCACCUGGUGGCGAGUGGCGAACGGGUGAGUAAUACAUCGGAACAUGUCCUGUAGUGGGGGAUAGCCCGGCGAAAGCCGGAUUAAUACUGCAUACGAUCUACGGAUGAAAGCGGGGGACCUUCGGGCCUCGCGCUAUAGGGUUGGCCGAUGGCGGAUUAGCUAGUUGGUGGGGUAAAGGCCUACCAAGGCGACGAUCAGUAGCUGGUCUGAGAGGACGACCAGCCACACUGGGACUGAGACACGGCCCAGACUCCUACGGGAGGCAGCAGUGGGGAAUUUUGGACAAUGGGCGAAAGCCUGAUCCAGCAAUGCCGCGUGUGUGAAGAAGGCCUUCGGGUUGUAAAGCACUUUUGUCCGGAAAGAAAUCCUUGGCCCUAAUACGGUCGGGGGAUGACGGUACCGGAAGAAUAAGCACCGGCUAACUACGUG